rnacentral:rRNA from 1 species
GACGAACGCUGGCGGCGUGCUUAACACAUGCAAGUCGAACGGUGAAGCGCCUUCCUUUUUGGUGGGUGUGGAUGAGUGGCGAACGGGUGAGUAACACGUGAGUAACCUGCCCCCUUCUUCUGGAUAACCGCAUGAAAGUGUGGCUAAUACGGGAUAUUCUGGGUCUGUCGCAUGAUGGGUCUGGGAAAGAUAUUGUUUCGGUGGGGGAUGGGCUCGCGGCCUAUCAGCUUGUUGGUGGGGUGAUGGCCUACCAAGGCGGUGACGGGUAGCCGGCCUGAGAGGGUGGACGGUCACACUGGGACUGAGACACGGCCCAGACUCCUACGGGAGGCAGCAGUGGGGAAUAGUGCACAAUGGGCGCAAGCCUGAUGCAGCAACGCCGCGUGAGGGAUGGAGGCCUGCGGGUUGUGAACCUCUUUCGCCAGUGAAGCAGGCCUGCCUCGUUUGUGGGUGGGUUGACGGUAGCUGGAUAAGAAGCGCCGGCUAACUACGUG